ACACACUGACCUUAUCCCAGCCCCUCGUUCCCCCAUGCAGGUGGUUGCCGUUGUUGUUGAUGGUGAGGGUGUACUGCUGUCCCUCCACCACCAGCUUGCCCUUCCCGAUGCGAUUGGCACAGCGACCAAUGGAGCUUCCCUGGGUGACAUGGUCCUUCUUCCCAGACUUGUCAGGCACCACAAUGGCACUCACACAGGCACCAUAGGAGAUGACCUGUGGGACAACAACAGAAGCACUGCAUGAACCUCCCUGCCAUGACUACCACAUAACAUGUUCUAGUGGUGAAUUGGUCCCUUCAAUAGGUACCUAAUGGUGUUUGUGCUCAAAAAGUAAACUUUCCCAGUUA